rnacentral:rRNA from 1 species
CCUACGGGCGGCUGCAGUGGGGAAUAUUGGACAAUGGGGGCAACCCUGAUCCAGCCAUGCCGCGUGUGUGAAGAAGGCCCUCGGGUUGUAAAGCACUUUCAGUGAGGAAGAACGCCUGGUGGUUAAUACCCAUCAGGAAAGACAUCACUCACAGAAGAAGCACCGGCUAACUCCGUGCCAGCAGCCGCGGUAAUACGGAGGGGUGCGAGCGUUAAUCGGAAUUACUGGGCGUAAAGCGCGCGUAGGUGGCUUGAUAAGCCGGUUGUGAAAGCCCCGGGCUCAACCUGGGAACGGCAUCCGGAACUGUCAAGCUAGAGUGCAGGAGAGGAAGGUAGAAUUCCCGGUGGAGCGGUGAAAUGCGGAGAGAUCGGGAGGAAUACCAGUGGCGAAGGCGGCCUUCUGGACUGACACUGACACUGAGGUGCGAAAGCGUGGGUAGCAACCAGGAUUAGAUACCCCUGUAGUC